GGUCCUAUAGCUCAGAUGGUUAGAGCACUUCGCUGAUAACGAAGGGGUCGCUGGUUCAAGUCCAGCUAGGGCCA
rnacentral:tRNA from 1 species